AAUACUACCAUUACAAUGUUCAUGACCGCUGCAAACUUGAACAUUGUUUAAACAUUAUCAAUAUUUGUAUGUGAUUUUGGUAUUAGUGUGAACUCCAACACUGGCUGACAAAGAAGGUUCUUCAUAAGAAUACUAUAUUUACGCUCAAAGAAAAACUAAAGCAAAGCAAAGUAAAGAUAAAAUAUGGGACCAUACCACUCUUGGGGCCGUGAAUGACUGAAAUCAUCACAUGUCCUACACGCCACAAAUGUUUCUGCAACGCAAUCUCCACCGUUUGAAUGGUCCCACAAAUGAUAUCAACCGUUCGAUGCAGGACAAUGAAUAAGUCAGGGACACUUUGUCUCUUUUGUCUUUGAUCAGUUACAACAGAUUGAGGAAAAAAGAAAGCUAUAGGAGUAGUAAUUUGCAAUGCAUGUUGAUUGCUACGCGCGUUUUAAGCAUAAAAUAUUGUUCUGCCUCUUCCUUUGGCCAUUCCACAACCAGCUCUUCGAGUUGAAAGUGUAUAAAAUGUUCUUUAUGUGGUUAUCGGAAAUUGUAAUAAUUGUAGAGAAAGGGCUGGUAUCGGGGUCACCAAGCAUUGUAAAUUGUUGCCAUAUGAUGUUCCUGUCACGCUUGUUAACCAAGAAAAGUUAACAACAGUUCACAUAAGAAAACCUUAUUGCUUUGCUAGCAUUCAGAAAAUAAAGUCGCGUCAUUUUUUUCUA